GACGAACGCUGGCGGCGUGCUUAACACAUGCAAGUCGAACGGAAAGGCCCUGCUUUUGUGGGGUGCUCGUGUGGCGAACGGGUGAGUAACACGUGAGUAACCUGCCCUUGACUUUGGGAUAACUUCAGGAAACUGGGGCUAAUACCGGAUAGGAGCUCCUGCUGCAUGGUGGGGGUUGGAAAGUUUCGGCGGUUGGGGAUGGACUCGCGGCUUAUCAGCUUGUUGGUGGGGUAGUGGCUUACCAAGGCUUUGACGGGUAGCCGGCCUGAGAGGGUGACCGGCCACAUUGGGACUGAGAGACGGCCCAGACGCCUACGGGAGGCAGCAGUGGGGAAUAUUGCACAAUGGGCGGAAGCCUGAUGCAGCAACGCCGCGUGCGGGAUGACGGCCUUCGGGUUGUAAACCGCUUUCGCCUGUGACGAAGCGUGAGUGACGGUAAUGGGUAAAGAAGCACCGGCUAACUACGUG
rnacentral:rRNA from 1 species